rnacentral:misc_RNA from 1 species
AACGCACAUUGCGCCCGCCAGUAUUCUGGCGGGCAUGCCUGUUCGAGCGUCAUUUCAACCCUCAAGCCCCCGGGCUUGGUGUUGGGGAUCGGGGUAAAAACGGCCAAACCCUCCGGGGGGCGGUCCGGCCCGUCCCUCAAAUGCAUCGGCGGUCUCGCCGCGGUCCUCCUAUGCGUAGUAGCACACCUCGCACUGGAGCCGCAGCCUGCCCUGCCGCUAAACCCCCAAAUAUUUUUUUGAUGGUUGACCUCGAAUCAGGUAGGACUACCCGCUGAACUUAA